GGCUCAAUAGCUCAGCGGUAGAGCAACUCCUUCAUACGGAGAAGGUCAGGUGUUCAAGUCACCUUUGAGCCA
rnacentral:tRNA from 1 species